GCUGGGGCCUAGGCUGGCAAGCAUUCGGAGCCGGAGGAGGCGGCGAGCAGGGCGGCUGGGCGCCUGAGGCCUGUGCCCGGCCCUAGGGCCUGCUCUUCUGCUGCAGCCCAUCAGCCUUCGUGGGCUGUCCCCUGCUGCCACACGGUGAAAUCCGUCUUCAGGGUCAAUCCCCGGUUGGGAGGAGACCCCGAGCUUUACUACCUUCGUCCUAGCCCCCGUGGCCAUGGCGUAGGCCCAGGCCUCACCUCUACCACACUCCUUUGCUUGGGUGAAGGUUCUAGAACCCCAGGGCAAGCCUUGGGCCUGAGCGUCCCUUCUGACCAGGCCACACAGGCCGGGGCAGCUGCCUGGGUCCCGGGGCGAAGAGGCAGGAAAGCCCCGGCCUCACUCAGCACCCUCCCGCCCGUCUGCCCUCAUCAGUCAGCGGCCUCAGCCUGCCUCCGGGCCUCCCGGCACUGGCGGUGGAAGCUUCCAGCGGGUGCCGGGUGGGGUCGGGGGAGGGCGGGGGAGGUAAUGGGAGAAGCAAAGCCGAGAAGUUGAUGCUUGCUCCGAGCCCCACGCGGUCCUUCAUCGGUGGCUCAAGUCGCCUGUCAAUCAUCGCGCCCUGAGUGGGAUCGAGCUCUCGCGUAAACUCCACACAGAACAGCCAGAAUGAGUCACGGACCAUAUCAUGCCUUGGAUCAUACUUCACCUCCUUUAAGUUCUCCAGUAACUUCCCAUGACAUUGGAAUUAAGGCUACACUUCUCAGAAGGUUGGCUGCAAGCCUGCUGUAGAAGGUCCAGGCCCUGCAUCGGGUUACAGCUGCCUGCAGAGGGACAGAACCCUGCUCUUCCUGGUGCUCUCCUGAGGGAAGAAACCUUUCCAGAAGUCCCCUCUCUAGCAGACUAUUCACAUCUCCUUGGCUAGAAUGGAGUCACAUACAAAUUCCUACCGUGGUGGGGAGGGGGUUGUUAUCGAUCCUGACUACAGGUUCCUGUUCUAUUUCGUGUGUUGUGUGCAUCGGGCAAUUUUGUAAACUCUAGACUCCUCAGAGUGAUGUUUUAACUUUAAACAAUUGGAAUCAACUGUAGAGUGCUAUACUUAUGAAAAUCACUAAAUUCACAGCCUAUAGAUAUAUGCUAUCUUUUAUUGAUUACAACUAGAUUUUUUGUUUCCAAGACAAGGUUUCUCUGUGUAGCCCUGACUGUCCUGGAACUCACUCUGUAGAUUCCUCGAACUCAGGGAUCUGCCUGCUUCUGUCUCCUGGAUGCUGGGAGUAAAGUUGUGCCCCACCCCUGCCCAGCACAACUAUAUUUUAAUAAUACUGAUUGAAUUAAUAAGCAUUACGAGUCAUUUUAAGAGAGUGAUAGGCAUAAAUGAUGUUUUGAGAUAGUUUUAAAAACUAUAAUGUGGGGCUGGAGAGAUGGCUCAGCAGUUAAAACUGAGUUCAAUUCCCAGUAACCACAUGGUGGCUCACAACCAUCUGUAAUGGGAUCCCAUGUCUUCUUCUGGUGUCUCUGAAGACAGCUACAGUGUUACUCAUGUAAGUAAAUAAAUAACUAAUUUUUAAAAACCCUA